UGACUUCACUUUAUUUUGCAUUUUAUUUAUAUUUCAAGGGAAAGAUUUACAGUCAAUCCUCAAAAUGGACAGAGGCAAGACUUCAUCAACAAAAAUGAUUUUGAUUUCAACUUAAUACGUUGAUAUAAAAUCUUUAAUACAAAUCCAUAAAGAUGAUUGUUUGAUUAAGCCAUUGUUGAUAUAAUCAAAAUCUCGACAUUGGAUGAAAUGCUUACAUCCGCAAAGUAUUUCCCUAGCACAGAUAUAACCACUGCAUCAAGCAUCUCCCAGAUAAAUUACAUUCAUUAAAAAACACAAGCUUAAGGAACAGAUUUCAAAUGAAUGAAAAACUAUUGAAAUGACAUAUUAUAGUUUGUUUGUGACCUCACAUAACAGUUUCCCCCACCUUUCCUCCAGGUACUCGACAAUGAUCCUCUAUUUGAAUUCCCUCUCUAAUGAAACGGAGAUGUUCUCCUCUGGCUUCAAGGGGAGGUGACUGAACGCAAUUUGAAAGUGUUUUUUAAAAAUGUUUUGUUUCUUUUGUGGUAUCACUCAAAGUAGAAGAUUUGUAUGACUACAAAAUGUACGCUGUGUCUUGGCCAUGAGCUGUAGUGGAGAAGGAUGAGUGGUAAGACUUCACUGGAGAGGAGAAGGAUGAGUGGUAAGACAUCACUGGAGAGGAGAAGGAUGAGUGGUAAGACAUCACUGGAGAGGUGAAGGAUGAGUGGUAAGACUUCACUGGAGAGGAGAAGGAUGAGUGGUAAGACUUUACUGGAGAGGAGAAGGAUGAGUACACAUUGCUUGUCUUUUCUAGGAACCUCUUCCUAGGUGCUAACUAGCCCGGAUGCCUGUCAGUUUGCCAGGCAUUGGCUGGUCCUUUGUCACUGUCCUGCCAAACCGGAGUAAGCUGGUGGUGUAUGUAUGAGAGGAUAAACACAGCACUUACUCUCUGGUCAGGGUGCCAGUCUUCCAGUCUGUCUCAGUCUGUUCUAGCUAGCUGUUUGGCAUGCAGGGCUGGCUGACUGUUCAAAUAGACUGAAGGCUACAAAAUGGUUGUUAGUCACAAUUUGAGGGGGUUUAGAAAUGUUAACAUGCAGAGCGCUGCUGAGACAUAGGCCAAUAGAGGGAGACAGGGAAUUUACAUAGGAGGCAGGCUAAGGUGUGUGGGGGUAAGGAGGGGGUGGGUGGUGUGAGGGAUGGUUAGGGUGAGGAGUGUAGGGAGUGAUUAGUGACAGACAGGUUGGAGGAUGGGUAUGUUCCAAAGUGGUUGGGAUGAGGUACAUGGGGAAAGUGUAAGGGGGUUUGAGUGAGGUGUGUUGAGGUGUUGGUACAUAAGGGGAGUCAGUGAGGUGUGUUGAGGUGUUGGUACAUAAGGGCAGUCAGUGAGGUGUGUUGAGGUGUUGGUACAUAAGGGCAGUCAGUGAGGUGUGUUGAGGUGUUGGUACAUAAGGGCAGUCAGUGAGGUGUGUUGAGGUGUUGGUACAUAAGGGCAGUCAGUGAGGUGUGUUGAGGUGUUGGUACAUAAGGGCAGUCAGUGAGGUGUGUUGAGGUGUUGGUACAUAAGGGGAGUCAGUGAGGUGUGUGGGGGUGUAUUGCAGCUAACUUCAGUCUAGAUUAUUUGAAUGAUAAAUAUGGGCAUUAGAAAACAUUAGAUAACAUUAGGUAACAUUAGCUGAGGUACUUGGGGGAUGGGAGGAAGUCUGGGGCUCUGGCGAUCGUUGACAUUUUUCGUACGGUCCUGUCGCCGUACAGCAAAUCUCCUCCUGCUCAUCGUAAUGAGGGCCUGCCAGCCAGCCAGAUGGGGCUAGCGCCUGUCUGUCAAUCACAGGUUUCCAUGGUGAUUCAUUGACAGUCCCUCAUGACAGUCCUCAUACUGGACACCCUGGAGAGAGAGAGGGGGGGGGAUUAGUGAGACAGACCUCUAAAGGUCAGCAGUCAGUCAGUCCAGCCAGCAACAGUACGUAUCUCUCCCAGUCUCUUGUGUGCACACAGAGUGGCAGGCUGUGGGACAUAACACAUACAGUAGGUCCAAUAAUGGACCAGGUAGAGUCAUUAUUUAC
ensembl:lncRNA